rnacentral:lncRNA from 1 species
CCCAGUUGACGAUUUCAUUUUUCAAAACUUUCCUUCUGAAACAUUUCAUUUUCUUUUUUGUUUUGAAACUUUCUCUCUUCCAUUCUUCAUCUCCUAAAGCUUUCCUAAUCUGGUUCACACACCCAAUCGUACCUUUUUUACUUUUCGGCAUACUCAAGGACCUCCAUUUCCAGGUAUAUCUCCUCUUUUCUUCUUAGAGUUUCUAUUGCAAGAAUAUGUGCAAGAUUAUUGGCAGAUCUUGAUGUAUGUUGGAAUUUGAUAUUAUUGGAGCCACUUAUUUUCUGUUGGAUAUCAUAAAUAUAUGCCCCUACCAGUGAUCGAUCCUGACCCUUUGUGUUGCAUUUCUUUAUUAUUGCGAGGGAAUCUCCUUCAAAGAUGAUUGACUGCCAUCCCUUUUCGACUCCUAUUUGAACUGUUUUCCAACAGGCUAUUGCUUCAGCAGCAAAUGCAGAGUUUAUGUCAUUGUGGAUCUCUGAACAGGAUAAAAGAACUUUUCCUUCCGCAUCUCUGGCCACAAUACCUGAAG